ensembl:antisense Gm11713 predicted gene 11713
CUUUCAGAAAGAGAUACAUUAUAACUGGCCAAAAUGCAGAAAAGGAAUGCCCAGGCUAUGAGCACUGCUCAGUGGGAUAUCUGUAUGGAUAUUCACCCACCCCCACCCCAAGGCUGGGGAACAGCCUGAAGAGAGGCGGCAGGGUGAUGCAAAGGCAUCCUGGUCAUGACAUGGUCACAGGCACUCGGGAACUCCCUGCAGCUAUAAGAGCAAGCCAACAAGGCAGAAAAGGAUCCAGAACAGGGUGAGCUGUGAGAUGCAGGGACCAAAGCCAUCUAGAGGGAAGGACCACCUGUGGCCUCCGGAGGAGAGGGGGGCGGGGCGAGAAAAGAAAAACAAACCAGCCAGUCAGAGCGACCUGGAGGCCCACUGGAACCGGGCUAGCAACUCAAACCUUCUGCACCAAAUGCCCGAACAAUGGCCCCUAUUUAUGCACAGCUCCAAAGGCUCCUUGCAUCAGAAGGCACCUUCGAGAAUAAACCGGCAGCUAAUUCUCCUGGUAGCAGAAAUCCACUCUCACGG